UACGUAGGGCGCAAGCGUUGUCCGGAAUUAUUGGGCGUAAAGAGCUCGUAGGCGGUUUGUCGCGUCUGCUGUGAAAACCUAAGGCUCAACCUUGGGCUUGCAGUGGGUACGGGCAGACUAGAGUGCGGUAGGGGUGACUGGAAUUCCUGGUGUAGCGGUGGAAUGCGCAGAUAUCAGGAGGAGCACCGGUGGCGAAGGCGGGUCUCUGGGCCGAUACUGACGCUGAGGAGCGAAAGCGUGGGGAGCGAACAGG
rnacentral:rRNA from 1 species